rnacentral:rRNA from 1 species
UGGAAAGUCCGACGGUACAGGGUGAUAGUCCCGUACACCAAAAUGCACAGGUUGUGAACUCGAAGAGUAGGGCGGGACACGUGGUAUCCUGUCUGAAUAUGGGGGGACCAUCCUCCAAGGCUAAAUACUCCUGACUGACCGAUAGUGAACCAGUACCGUGAGGGAAAGGCGAAAAGAACCCCGGCGAGGGGAGUGAAAAAGAACCUGAAACCGUGUACGUACAAGCAGUGGGAGCCUCUUUAUGGGGUGACUGCGUACCUUUUGUAUAAUGGGUCAGCGACUUAUAUUCUGUAGCAAGGUUAACCGUAUAGGGGAGCCGAAGGGAAACCGAGUCUUAACUGGGCGUUAAGUUGCAGGGUAUAGACCCGAAACCCGGUGAUCUAGCCAUGGGCAGGUUGAAGGUUGGGUAACACUAACUGGAGGACCGAACCGACUAAUGUUGAAAAAUUAGCGGAUGACUUGUGGCUGGGGGUGAAAGGCCAAUCAAACCGGGAGAUAGCUGGUUCUCCCCGAAAGCUAUUUAGGUAGCGCCUCGUGAAUUCAUCUUCGGGGGUAGAGCACUGUUUCGGCUAGGGGGUCAUCCCGACUUACCAACCCGAUGCAAACUGCGAAUACCGAAGAAUGUUAUCACGGGAGACACACGGCGGGUGCUAACGUCCGUCGUGAAGAGGGAAACAACCCAGACCGCCAGCUAAGGUCCCAAAGUCAUGGUUAAGUGGGAAACGAUGUGGGAAGGCACAGACAGCCAGGAUGUUGGCUUAGAAGCAGCCAUCAUUUAAAGAAAGCGUAAUAGCUCACUGGUCGAGUCGGCCUGCGCGGAAGAUGUAACGGGGCUAAACCAUGCACCGAAGCUGCGGCAGCGACACUAUGUGUUGUUGGGUAGGGGAGCG